rnacentral:misc_RNA from 1 species
UCAGUUCUCCACUGCGCUCCGUGUGAAGCGGAGCUUUCGACGUAACGUCCUCUCGCUCUCCCUCUCGCUCGCCGCGCGAUCCGCGAGGGAUCGAUUUCCCCGAUCGAGAUUCGUCCUGCGGCAGAGUCGCGUUUACACAGGAGUCGCGUUGCAGGAAGUAGGUCGGUUCUGAUCGUCGAUCCGACGUGCUUUCAGGAAGAGAGCCGGGCGGGCUGAAGGGGCGAAAGAAGGGACGAGAUGCUGCGAGUGAUCUGAAACGAGAGAGGGCCUGAACUAACUUGAGAGUGAUACCGGGAGAAGCCUCGAGAAGCCCCGGAAGACCCGCCUCCGGGAACGAGCACGAUUCAGGAUUCAGCACGGAACGAUGCUGAGAUCGACCGAGCUGCCCAGGUGGCUGCUGUUGGCGGGACUUUUGUGCUGCUCGUCCUGCCAGAGCGUACCGUUUUCCUUCGAGAAUAAACCGGCGGCCAGAAUGACAGCCGGCCGCGGAUAUUCUCGCCCAGGAUGGACUACGACGAGUGGACGCCGCUGGGACGCGGCGAUCCGCUG